rnacentral:lncRNA from 1 species
UGAAAAUAAAAAAUUUCNUUAAGGUUUCUUUCGUACGUGCUAUUUCUUGUGUACAUACCAGUGCCACCAUUGUCCGGACAAUCAAAAUGAAUAAAAAUUUCAGUUGGGAACUGGGAUUUGACAAUAGCAACAAGGUUUAUAAGACAGAUUAAGAAAAUAAAAUUAUGAAGCCAUUUCCCAGAACUCGUUGCUAUAUACAUGAAUAUAGUGUUUGCAAUAUACAUAUGGACAGAAUACUUGGUGCUAUAGUUCAGUACAAGUAUAUAUAUACCAUUCUAAUAAUUUAAACAUUAUUUGAUAUGGAAAAUCGUCG